rnacentral:rRNA from 1 species
AUUGAACGCUGGCGGCAGGCUUAACACAUGCAAGUCGAGCGGAGCGGCGGACGGGCGAGUAAUGCUUAGGAAUCUGCAUAUUAGUGGGGGACAACAUCUAGAAAGGGAUGCUAAUACCGCAUCCUAUAACAUGAGCCUAGGUCGGAUUAGCUUGUUGGUGGGGUAAAGGCAUACCAAGGCGACGAUCCGUAACCGGUCUGAAAGGAUGAUCAGUCACACUGGAACUGAGACACGGUCCAGACUCCUCCGGGAGGCAGCAGUGGGGAAUAUUGGACAAUGGGCGAAAGCCUUGUCCAGCCAUGCCGCGUGUGUGAAGAAGGUCUUCGGAUUGUAAAGCACUUUAAGUUGGGAGGCGUUACCAACAGAAUAAGCACCGGCUAACUUCGUGCCAGCAGCCGCGGUAAUAC